CCAUUCCGUAACUUUCCACAAAUUACCUCUUCGGGACCCUGAAAGGCUAAAACUGUGGCUAAUAGCUCUACGAAAAGAUCUAAGGACAGCUAACGUGGAUUCUCUCCGUGUCUGUAGUGAACACUUUUCAGCGGAUGAUUUCCGAACCUGUAAAGGAAGAGCUUUAUUAAAGAGUACAGCUGUGCCGAUGGUGUCACAACUAAGGACAGAGCCCAGGCUUCUCCGCAAAAUACAACACCUACAGCUUCAUGGAGGACACAACAAAUGAAAUAAUCCUUUUUCAGUUAGUGCAGGUGACAGAGGCAUCCAGCUCUGCUGCCAUGGAGCCAGUGGGGUUCAGGAGAGGACUUGAUUAUCUCCUUGAGUAAGGUCUUGAAGUGGAGGUGGUAACCACUGACCGAUCACCAUCUAUACGAAAAAUUAUGCGCGAAGAGUAUCCGGAAAUCCACCAUGAGUUUGACAUCUGGCAUGUUGUCAAGGGGCUAAUGAAAAAAUUGCUGUCAGCAUCCAACAAAAAGGACAACCGAGACCUGCAACCAUGGAUAAAAUCCAUCUGCAAUCACUUGUGGUACGCCUGUUCCACUUGUGGAGGUGACCCUGAUGGAAGCUUGAAGUAUUCCAUGCAUCUAUGCUGAAAUACACAGAGAAGAGACUGCACUUCCACUACUCAACAAUGAAAGCUCGCACCCAGCUUGCCGUUAUGGACCACAAUGAAAAUGUUCAGCGUGAACAGGCCUACACCAACACAGGACAAGCACGGUUCAAUGUGGUUUACCCAAGACAAACAAAAGAAUGGGUUGCCAAAAAGAU